AAUUCUACCCUUCUCCAUAGAUCUGACAGAUAAAUUAUUCUAUGGUCACCUGAAUAAUUUAUUUAAUUGUUGCUUCCCCAGGAUGAUCCCCCUGGAGAUGGAGACCUGCCAUUUCAGCUCAGUUCUCAGUCUUCCACACCACAUUCUCAGCUUACGGUGGAUUUACCAGUACAUAUACUUCAGGAGCCGCCCGCUUCCACGGAGGAUGACGCCGCUUCUGAAAAUUCACAGUUCACCGGCAGCACCAUCAACCUGCAGGACCUGGAAUGAGGCUGUUCCUGCUGCUUGGCGGGGAGGAUGCAAAGAGUGCAAUCAUGCUAUGGAAAGUGGAAAAGACGUUUCCAGAGCUUAAUUUAAUUUAAUUUUUUUUAAUGUGAAAAAAUGGGAGCCAACGGAACUCGUUUCGUUCUUCCCCGCGGAGAGUUUCUUUAAAGGACUCCUUGACUUAUCGAUGAAGACUGUUUGCCUCCCGCUGGGACUGUUAGGAAAAGGCCUCCGCGGGGGCUGCCUGCAGGAAGCUGCCUUGCCGGAGAGAGCGCCUGCGCAAAAGCGAGCACUUCGGGCCGACCCCCCUUCCCCCGCCUGGCGCCCCCAGCCAGUCACCUGCCGCCUGAACGCCGGAGAGCCCCAGGGAAGAAGGCGGGAGACGUUCUGGAGCGAGAGCAGGCAAAUGGCGGGCCGUGUGGGCCAACCCCCUACUGGGAGGAGGAAGCAGGCUGAGGGAGGUUUGGGCCUUGCUUGGGAAUUGUAAGGCUAGUGCCCAGGCAGGAUUUGAACCUGUGUCUUCCCGAUUCCAAGUCCAGCCUACUCUCCACUAGGCUGCACGCCUGUGUUUUGCUGUUGAUAGAGACAGCCGUGCAGUCCUACAGAAGGGAGUGGGUGAGCCCAGAUGUUGCAGCAUUACGAAUCAGAGGGCAGGCUCUGGAGGGCUGCGUGGAGGGGGGGGAGGUGGUGAUGGGCCCGCUCCGAGGCCUCAGGAGAUGGGUGCUUCGGUGGGCUGAGAGGAGGAAGGGAGAGUGUGCUUGUGGCCAUCCUGGUUCCGUGCCCCACACAAAACUCGGGCCAUACCGUUAACCUUUUAAAAACGUACGUUCUGCAUUUGCGUAUUUACAUGUAUCGGUCCCUCGACGACGGUUUCCAAAGUGUGUACUGAAUGCCUAUAAAAUGAUGUCCGGGACUGGCGGCGGCUCGUGUACGUUUGCUCGCGGAGAUGCGCUCUGUGUGAGCUGCAUGAACAGGUCUUUUAGCGUCUGCCCCCUUGCACAUAUUUAUUGUUCUUUAUAGUUCUGGAGUUCACACAGGGUCGUUCAGCAAUGCUUUUUUUUCUUGUGCCUUUGGAAGUCUGCGCGUGUGUAAAGAUGCCCUUUUGUUUCCGGGACCCCACAGGAAUACAGAGGCUCCUGCCCUGCAUUUCUUGACUUGUUAGACUUUUGCUCCAAGGAGCAAUUCCAGCAAACCACUGCGACCCCGUCCGGCCUGCCCUCGGCGCUCCCCGGGGCCCCUCGGAGCCAGCUGGAGGGGGAGGGGGAGAGGUGGCUGGCCCCUGGGUGCCGAGUCACUCUUCUACAUAGAACUGCAUGUCACCUCCCCGGCCGCCGGCCCACUCGGCCAGGCCCCGCCCCCUCCCCUCCUGGAGCCCCUCCCCCCGGGAGGUGUGUGGCUGUGACGCACAUCCCACGUGUGUCCCUAACCCAGGAGCACUCGGGCUUCUCUGGGCUUUGAGGUUCAUUGCUGGCAAUGGACGAGAUCCCGAAUGCAGAUGAAUUAAUAAAGCUUUUUUUAUGGUCUUA